GCAUUGGUGGGGUAGUGGUAACCUGGAUCGUUGCCAUGUAGUUGGUGUGAUCCAAUUCGAUCCGCCCCGGGUUCGAUUCCCGGUCAAUGCA